UUUCUAACAAAACUUACAUUAUUUGGAAAUACCAACCUUCUUGACUCUCAAUUUUGACUACUGUUUUAUACCUCAGGCACCAAAUGUUUUCUUGCUUCCCUCCCUUUCACAGUUUGGAACUUAUUCUUGGGGACUGUUCUAAGCCUGAGGAACCAACAACCCAAGGUGAUGUGUCUGGAAUCGGUGAAUUCUUGGUUUCGCUGACUUCAAGAAUGAAGCCACGGACCGGCGGUACCAGGCUCUUGGAGCCUUACAUUCUUCAGUGUUAGAAGGUACUAGAAUAUUUAAUUCCUGUUUUUGAAUUUAUAAUUAAAUAAUAAAACUGUUUUACUGUGUGCAGAUAUUGAUGAUGUUAUUUAUGUAUUUGGUUUAUGUUUUUGUUUACUUAUUUAUUUAUUUAUUUUGAGGCAGAGUCUCACCCAGGCUGAGUGCGGAGGUACAAUCAUGGAUCACUGCAGCCUCAACCUUCUAGGUUAAAUAAAUCCUCCCACCUCAGCCUCCCAAGUAGCUGGGACUACAAGUGUGCACCACGACAUCUGGGUAAGUUUUAAUUUCUCGUAAAGACAGAGUCUUGCCAUGUUGCCCAGACUGGUCUCAAACUCCUGGACUCAAGUGAUCUCCCUGCCUUGGCCUUCCAGAAUGUUG
rnacentral:lncRNA from 1 species